rnacentral:sRNA from 1 species
UAAAUAGGGACUGAUAAUUACACCGCCCUGGCUAGUUUACACCUGCUAAAAUGUCUACUUUUCAUACGGAAUAGUGGAUACACAACUCUCGUGCUGCAAAAUAGCUUGAAUGGAUCGUGAGAAACUUCUCGUUGCUUGCUCGCAAUUUGAAGUUGUAGUUACACAGAUAGAAAUUUUUAUAUCAUAUUGAAAUCUGAUGGGGGUGGAAGGCUGAUUCAUUGCAACUAUCUAACGGGUGCAGCACUGCUCAUAUAGCCUUCUAGCGAGCGAUAGGGAUGCCAACAAAAUCUAUAUAAAAAAGAUGUCAUCAUUCAUCACCUUACAGAGCUAGAUCAUCUCAAUUCGAUCUGGAUCUUGUCAUUGAUGAGAAAGACAAUUUUAACACUGUAUAUAAUAAAUUCAUUAUCAAACAAUAAAGAGCAGUGAGUAUCCAGCUGAUACAUACCUAGCUAGCGAGAAAUAUCUACUUGAAUAGAUUUAGGUAUCUAUUUCAUAAGCAAUCAAUUAAAUAUUGAUAGAUCGCUAGAUAUCUAGUUAGGCUAGACAAAUUAUUAGAUGUCCAGCUGGUAGGCAUCUAGAUAGCUAGCAAUAUCUAAUUCUAUAGAAAUCAAUUGGAUAUCAAGUGGGUAGACAGCAAGCUAGG